AUCCUGGCUCAGAGCGAACGUUAGCGGCGGGCCUAACACAUGCAAGUCGAACGCGAAAGGUCUUCGGACUGAGUAGAGUGGCGCACGGGUGAGUAACACGUAGGUAAUCUACCCUUUGGCGGGGAUAACGUUCCGAAAGGAGCGCUAAUACCGCAUAAGACCACGGAGUCUCCGGACGCUGUGGGAAAAGGUGGCCUCUUCUUGAAAGCUACCACCGAAGGAUGAGCCUGCGUCCCAUCAGCUAGUUGGUAAGGUAAUGGCUUACCAAGGCGAAGACGGGUAGCUGGUUUGAGAGAAUGAUCAGCCACACUGGCACUGGAACACGGGCCAGACUCCUACGGGAGGCAGCAGUGAGGAAUAUUGGGCAAUGGGCGAAAGCCUGACCCAGCCACGCCGCGUGAGUGAUGAAGGCCCUCGGGUCGUAAAGCUCUGUGGAGAGGGACGAAAACCCUGGUUUCAAAUAGGCUCCAGGCUUGACGGUACCUCUUUAGCAAGCACCGGCUAACUCUGUG
rnacentral:rRNA from 1 species